rnacentral:rRNA from 1 species
UAGGGAAUAUUGGACAAUGGGCGAAAGCCUGAUCCAGCAAUGCCGCGUGAGUGAUGAAGGCCUUAGGGUUGUAAAGCUCUUUUACCCGGGAUGAUAAUGACAGUACCGGGAGAAUAAGCUCCGGCUAACUCCGUGCCAGCAGCCGCGGUAAUACGGAGGGAGCUAGCGUUGUUCGGAAUUACUGGGCGUAAAGCGCACGUAGGCGGCUAUUCAAGUCAGAGGUGAAAGCCCGGGGCUCAACCCCGGAACUGCCUUUGAAACUAGAUAGCUUGAAUCCAGGAGAGGUGAGUGGAAUUCCGAGUGUAGAGGUGAAAUUCGUAGAUAUUCGGAAGAACACCAGUGGCGAAGGCGGCUCACUGGACUGGUAUUGACGCUGAGGUGCGAAAGCGUGGGGAGCAAACAGGAUUAGAUACCCACGUAGUCCCUGAGCGGGCUGGCAAGGCGCAU